rnacentral:rRNA from 1 species
CACGUAGGGGGCAAGCGUUGUCCGGAUUUAUUGGGCGUAAAGAGCUCGUAGGCGGUUCGGCAAGUCGGGUGUGAAACCCCCAGGCUCAACCUGGGGACGCCACCCGAUACUGCUGUGACUUGAGUCCGGUAGGGGAGCGUGGAAUUCCUGGUGUAGCGGUGAAAUGCGCAGAUAUCAGGAGGAACACCAAUGGCGAAGGCAGCUCGCUGGGACGGUACUGACGCUGAGACGCGAAAGCGUGGGGAGCAAACAGG